UGCCGGACCUGACUGCUAUCGGAUUGAUACUAAGCCAUGCGAGUCAUUGUAGCAAUACAAGGCAGACGGCUCAGUAACGCGUAGUCAAUCUACCCUAUGGACGGAGAUAAUCUCGGGAAACUGAGAAUAAUAUCCGAUAGAACAUUAUGCCUGGAAUGGUUUAUGUUUCAAAUGAUUUAUCGCCAUAGGAUGGGACUGCGUCCUAUCAGUUUGUUGGUGAGGUAAUGGCCCACCAAGACUAUUACAGGUACGGGCUCUGAGAGGAGUAGCCCGGAGAUGGGUACUGAGACACGGACCCAGGCCCUAUGGGGCGCAGCAGGCGAGAAAACUUUGCAAUGUGCGAAAGCACGACAAGGUUAAUCCGAGUGGUUUCUGCUAAAGAAACCUUUUGUCAGUCCUAGAAACACUAACGAAUAAGGGGUGGGCAAGUUCUGGUGUCAGCCGCCGCGGUAAAACCAGCACCUCAAGUGGUCAGGAUGAUUAUUGGGCCUAAAGCAUCCGUAGCUUGCUUUGUAAGUUCUCGGUUAAAUCCAUGCGCUUAACGUAUGGGCUGCCGGCAAUACUGCAAAGCUAGGGAGUGGGAGAGGUAGACGGUACUCGGUAGGAAGGAGUAAAAUCCUUUGAUCUAUUGAUGACCACCUGUGGCGAAGGCGGUCUACCAGAACACGUCCGACGGUGAGGGAUGAAAGCUGGGGGAGCAAACCGGAUUAGAUACCCGGGUAGUCCCAGCUGUAAACUAUGCAAACUCAGUGAUGCAUUGGCUUAUGGCCAAUGCAGUGCUGCAGGGAAGCCGUUAAGUUUGCCUCCUGGGAAGUACGUACGCAAGUAUGAAACUUAAAGGAAUUGGCGGGGGAGCACCACAAGGGGUGAAGCCUGCGGUUCAAUUGGAUUCAACGCC
rnacentral:rRNA from 1 species